rnacentral:rRNA from 1 species
AGCAGCCGCGGUAAUUCCAGCUCCAAUAGCGUAUAUUAAAGUUGUUGCAGUUAAAAAGCUCGUAGUUGAAUUUCGAGACCGGCUUACUGGUCGUGCUAUUGUACGUACUGGUAUAAUCGGUUUCUCCUUUCUGACGAACUAUAAUGCCAUUAAUUUGGUGUUUUAGGGAAUCAGGACUGUUACUUUGAAAAAUUAGAGUGUUUAAAGCAGGCUCACGCUUGAAUACAUUAGCAUGGAAUAACGGAAUAGGACGUUUGAUUCUAUUUUGUUGGUUUCUAGGAUCGACGUAAUGAUUAAUAGGGAUAGUUGGGGGCAUUAGUAUUCAAUUGUCAGAGGUGAAAUUCUUGGAUUUAUUGAAGACUAACUACUGCGAAAGCAUUUGCCAAGGAUGUUUUCAUUAAUCAAGAACGAAAGUUAGGGGAUCGAAGACGAUCAGAUACCGUCGUAGUCUUAACCAUAAACUAUGCCGACUAGGGAUCGGAUGAUGUUAAUUUUUAAUGACUCAUUCGGCGCCUUACGG